rnacentral:lncRNA from 1 species
CUUAUUUUUUGACUUCAAAUAAGCAAAAAAACUAAUCAAAGUUGGCUUUUUUGCUUUUUUGUUUUUAUUUUUUUGCUUAAUUUUAGCUAAACUAAAGUCACAAAAAUAAAAAAUUAAAAAUUCUUAGCCUUUUUAAUAACAAGUUGAGCCUCAGUGUUUUUAAAGCAAUAAUUUUCUUCUUACAUAAAAUGGGUCUUACUGAAUUUAACACUUGCAGAAUUCACGUUUUAUGUGAGAUGAGAAGCAUUAAUUUAGAGCACUUAAUAAUUACUGAUUCAAUAACAGUUACUUAGGAUAUGAAUAAUGAUUAAUUAAUAUCCAGUGAUUUAUACUUCUUUUUCUCUUCAUUUGCACUCCAUCUUUUGCUUUCGUUAUUUGAUAAAUUUACCAAAAAAAUUAUUUUUACUAAAAGAUUUUUACUACAUGAAGUGAUAUUUUUAUAAAUUUAUUUUAAUAAAAACAAAAAAUAAAAUGCAAAUGAAGAGAAUAGUGCGUGAAAAUGGCUAACCUAGGUAAUUCAAAUUAUUAUCAAUAUCAAUAUGACAGUAAUUGAAUAUUCCAAGAGAAUCUGAUGCAUAAUACAAAACCAAUCAUCAGUAAUGUCCAUAAAUGUUACUGCCUUACGGCACAUUUUUAGCUAUGGUAUGUAAUCAUUGAUACACUAUUUUUGAUGAAGUGAUACUCCCCAUGUCCUUACUACUAGAUUGAUAACACAUCAUGUUCUACUGGUACCCAAAAAUAAAAUGUUGAAACUUAUAUGCAUUUCUUUGCCUUUUUCAGUUUUUCCCUCAAGUUACACGGACUCCCAUAAUAUUUGUUUCAAUGAAAGGUUCUCCUCUAAUGUAUGAUAAAUUCCACUGCAUUCCCUAAUGGCUCUUUUUAAUUGCGUUAACAAAUAACAAUUGUAAAGUUACCAUAUUACCCUCCUAUGAUAAAGGGAGAUUUCUUUAUAACCCUCACCCCAUCGUCCGCACCAUCCUCCCAUCUCAUUCUACUGAAGAUUCCAUUGGUGGUAGAAGGAAAGAAGAAUAUGGCCACCAAUUUCUGCGCAACCACAAGUUAAUCUACCAGCCAAGUCUAGCUCACCAAACUUUAAUCUUUACCUAGUUAACUCCAUUAACUGUUCAAAAAUCUAUAAGGUAUUACACUAUUCCUAAAUGGCAGUUCAAACUUCGGUUUAUCGGCGCUCUUUGAAAAAUGCAUUGUAGAGUGAUUCUGGGUAGUGGCCAACAGAGUCAUGCAACAUUUGAAAUCGUAAAAGAAAACAAUGCUUCUCUCUCUCUAAUUGUUUCAGGGAAGAUCUGUAUUGUUGCUACAUUAGCAUAUCAAUGGUUAUUUGAUUUUGGUGUUAGCAUAAUGGGGUGGGCUAAUUUAUGGGGCUUGGUUUGUGUCUAACGUUACAACUCUUGUGAUGGUGUAAGGGUGGUGGUGGCAAGGGUGAUGGUGUCAUAAUGCCAAAGGACAAGUGGUGGUAUAUGUCUUGGUGAGGGUGGAGUUAGGAUUUUUAGUUGGGGGGCUAAGUGGUAAAAAAAAAAAAAUUAAAUUUUUUUUUGUAAUUUUUAGAAAAUCAGGGGAUUGUUGCUCCUACUGGACCCAUGUAGGUCUGCCCCUGGUCUUGGUUGUGGUGGCGUUAACAUGGCUGAGGAGGAGAUGGGUUUUUGGGAGAGAGAAAGAGAG